UACGAAGGGGCUAGCGUUGCUCGGAAUCAUGCUGGGCGUAAAGCGCACGUAGGCGGCUUUUUAAGUCAGGGGUGAAAUCCUGGAGCUCAACUCCCAGUAACUGCCUUUGAUACUGAAGUAUCUUGAGUUCGGGAGAGGUGAGGUGGAACUGCGAGUGUAGAGGUGAAAAUUCGUAGAUAUUCGCAAGAACACCAGUGGCGAAGGCGGCUCACUGGCCCGGUACUCGACGCUGAGGUGCGAAAGCGUGGG
rnacentral:rRNA from 1 species